AUUGAACGCUGGCGGCAGGCCUAACACAUGCAAGUCGAACGGUAACAGGAAGAAGCUUGCUUCUUUGCUGACGAGUGGCGGACGGGUGAGUAAUGUCUGUGAAACUGCCUGAUGGAGGGGGAUAACUACUGGAAACGGUAGCUAAUACCGCAUAACGUCGCAAGACCAAAGAGGGGGACCUUCGGGCCUCUUGCCAUCGGAUGUGCCCAGAUGGCAUUAGCUAGUAGGUGGGGUAACGGCUCACCUAGGCGACGAUCCCUAGCUGGUCUGAGAGGAUGACCAGCCACACUGGAACUGAGACACGGUCCAGACUCCUACGGGAGGCAGCAGUAGGGAAUAUUGCACAAUGGGCGCAAGCCUGAUGCAGCCAUGCCGCGUGUAUGAAGAAGGCCUUCGGGUUGUAAAGUACUUUCAGCAGGGAGGAAGGGAGUAAAGUUAAUACCUUUGCUCAUUGACGUUACCCGCAGAAGAAGCACCGGCUAACUCCGUG
rnacentral:rRNA from 1 species